rnacentral:lncRNA from 1 species
AAGAAAAUGGAAACACGCUUGGUAUUUCUUUUGGCAGCGUUGUUGGCAACAGCACUGCUGGAAUCUAAGCCUGUUUUGCCAACACUAGCGUCUGAAGCUGAUCACUCAGUUUCGGGUGUUUUCAAAACAGGAAAAUUUCACCCAAUACAUUCUGAUGUAGGAACAGCCUCUAGCUGUUCACCUCCUAGAUCCUUGUUAAUUGUUAGACCAGAAGAAAAGGGCACGUGUCCUGUCAUCUUGUUUCACCACGGCACAGGCUGCCAGAACUCUUGGUACACUGAUGUUUUCAAAUUCAUGUCUUCUCAUGGAUACAUAGUGGUCGCACCGCAGGUACUCCUUUUUCCAUGUCCUUUCUUAAUACAUCCAAACAUACUGUACAAAUCGAUUCAUUCUUCAUGAGUUUCAUGUCUAACUUUUAAUAAAUCCAAUCUCAUAUCGCAUUUGUUGGGUUUGUAAAGUUAAUGACUUCUUUGUUUUUUUUUACUUUGGCGAGAUUAAUUUUUCUUUACUUUCAUUAUUUGAUAUUAGGUUAUUAAACCUUGAGUCUUGUGAUUUUUUUUUGUUUUUUUUUUUUUUUUAGAGUUGUCUUGAUCUCAUAACUCGAAUCAUGUGUUAGUCAAGUUAACAUAUAUGGGCUUUAUCAUUAUCUAGACAUUUUUAUUUAUUUUAUAAAAAUAUUAACCUGGCCCGCGAUAUAGCAUCGGUCACCACUCUAGUAUAAACUAUAUCUGAUAAAAAAAAUUCAUCCUUAUAUUAUUAUCAUCACAUAUAUCUACUUACUUAGGCUCUAUUUGUUUGCUGGAAAGUAGUUUUCUUUUGAAAAAUGGUUUUCUUGGAAAGUGAAUUCCUGAAAAUUGAAUUAUUUUUCGAUGUUUGGUAGUGUCAUGAAAAAUCAGUUGAAAAACACUUUCCAGUGUUUGGUUAUGUUAUGAAAAAUGAGUUAGAAAAUAACUUAUUAAUAUUUUUUUUCAUAAACAAAUCUUACAAAUUAAAAAAUUGAAUAAGAAUGAAAUUGAAAAAAAAAAUCUAAUUUCAUAAAUUAUCUCAAAUAAAAUAAAUAACAAUCAAAAUAAUAGAGAUCAAAUCUAACAAAUAAAAAAAUUAAAAGAUGAUGAGAUUAAAAUAAUAAUAAUUACAAUUUCAUAAAUUAUUUCAAAUAAAAUAAGUAACAAUAAAAAGAAUGAGUACCAAAUUUGAUAUAUAAAAAAUUUUAAUUAAAAAAAUAAUAAGAGAAAAGCAAAUAACAAUCAUAAAAAUGAUGACCAAAGUUAAUAUAAAAAUCAAAUUAAAUCAAAUUCUAAGGGGUGAAUUUGAAAAAAAAACUCAAAACAAAAUAUAUAAAAAUCAAAAGUUUGAGGACCAAAUUUGUUAUAAUCAGUAAAUAAUAUGAUAUUUCUAAAUUUUUCACAACUUCUGGAAAGUGUUUUACGCCCAAAAUAAAAGGAAAACACUUUCUUAGAAACCAAGCCAAAUUUUUCUUUAACUGUAAAGUGUUUUUUGUCGAAUAAUUUUUCUAAUGACAACCAAACAUGAAAAAAUUUGAAAAAUAACUUUCAGGAAACUACUUUCUGCCAAACAAACGAGGCUUUAAGCAUUAUAUAUUUUAAUGGACUUGGUUUUUUAAGUUAACAGUCAAGCUCAUCAACCAGGCUAACCCAGCCCAAGAUGAUAGUCAUUAAAGAUUUCAUGAAUUCAUAAUUUACUAUUAAAUUCAAAUGGUUGGUUGUAGAGGUGAGUAAAAAAACUAAAAAACCGAUUAAAUCAAGAAAACAGGAAAAAAAUAACCGAAAAAAUCAAAUCGUGAAAAAAAACUGAUUAGAAUUUUGAAAACACUAACCGGUUCGGUUCGAUUUCGGUUUUAUAAGCCUGAAAUUGAAAAAACCAAACCGAACCGAACUCACUCCGAAAAAACCGAGUCAAACCGGUUUGAACCUGUUUUUGUUCUAAAAAACCGAAACGAAAUGAAACCGGUCGAUUUGAAUCGGUUUCAAUUUUUAAAAAAAAUCAAUUUAGUUAUUAUUUUUUUAAUAAAAAUCAAACCAAAUAAAAAAUAAUUAUCCCUAAUUGACCAAUCGGUGCCUGGAUAAGGUUCAUCACGUUGCAUAUAUUACGUGUAUAAUUAAUGGCGUUCCAUUGUUUUAUGACUUUUCAACGGUUAUAAAUUUUAAUAUAUUUUCUUUCUUUAAAUAUUUCCAAUUCCUUAUAAAUAAAAAAUAUGAAUUUCAUAUGAAUGAACUUCAGAUGUGGAUAUUUAUUCAGUCGCGAAUGUGAUUGGAUUUAUUGACUUUUGCCUCAGCAUCUUCCCCCCCUUUUCCUUUUCCUUUUCCUAUGAAUAUGCAAAUCUUUUUCAUUUCGCAUCAAUCUGGGACCAUGAUCCAGAGGAAACUUCUAGCAUCAGAAUUAAUCUUGAUGCUUGAUUAAAGUGAAGAAUAAACAUGUACGAAACUUUGCACCUUUAUUUUAAACAAUAUUAUAUGCUUAAACAAAAUAAUCUUAACAUGAUGAAUUCCAUAUGUUACAACCAAAAGUAUUUUAAUUAAAUUUGGGUUUUUUCUUUUUUUUUUCUUUUAGGGUAUCGAUAUUUAUAGCAAACCUAUAAUUAAUUUAUGUUUUGUCUACGAUGUAGGUGAAAUUUCAUUGGGGGUUGAAUUUGGAUGUUUUUUAAUUAUAAUAUUGGUGAUUGUAAUAUAAUCACUUUGUUAUAAUUCAUGCUCAUUUUAAGAGAGAGUGUUGAAAAAUAUUUUACCCUUAAAUUUUUUUUAAAAAAAGUCAAGAUUUGUUGAAGAAAUCCAAGGAAUUGACUAAUUUAUUUUGUAUCAACCAUCAUAAACAUAAAUAAUUUAUAAUCCAUGGAAUAAACUACCAUGUAAAUAUUGUUUAUCUUUUAUUAUUUCGUAAAUUCAUCCACUCAAAUUUUAAGAGAAAAAAUGUCGCCUUAAAGUUUGUACCAUCACCCCGGCUAGGGCACAACCCUGUUGUUCAUAGGAGUGUUUAGGAUGCAAGUAAUAUCCACUCACAGGCUUAUGAAAAUAAUACAAAGAAAAUUUUGAGAGGUGUAUUUUAACUGGUCAGAUUUUAUGUUUGCUUUAUAGAAAUCACUAAUUUGAGUCUCACAAAUAUCAAGACCAUUGGAGACUUACAUGGUCGUUAAUUUCAGAAUCCGUGAGAUUAAUUAAGAUACGCGCAAGUUGAUCCAGACAUGCAUAUUAAUAAAAAUAAUAAUAAUGCAAAGAAACUUUACCAAGAAAUUAAAAACAUUAUAAAAUAGGAAUUAUUGAACUCUUCAGGCUUAUGAAAAUAAUGCAAAGCCACGAUGUAAGUAGUGUCCGCAUUAGUUGUUUUUUCUUCCAUUUUUUUAUUAUAGUCAGUAUUUUAUUUUUAUUUUUCCUUUUUUUGUGGAUCUCAGCGAAUGCUUUCUCUAAUUAAAAAAAAUGGGAAGAAAAAACAACAUACGGGACCAACGAGGUCAAAAGAACACGUGUUGCUUGUUUAUAAUUUCCUUCACAUUUUUUGUAAUCUUAAUAAAUGCUUUUUGUAAUAAAAAAAUGGGAAGAAAAAGACAACAACUGGGUCAAAAAGAUCAAAGGACACUUGUCACUUAUAUGUAGCGAAAUCACUUACGAGGAGCUCACAUUAAACAAAUUUAUUCAGUAUAGUAAAUUGGUACAAGAUCUUGAUUGACAAACUAGUUUUUUCAAGCCCUAAUUUACAUCCCUGAAUUACUGAAGAAACUCUGUUUUGAAUAGUUCUAAAUAAUAAUAAUCUGAAAAAUAUUUUGAAAAUAAUCUAUAAACUAUUUAAAUAGUAUUUAAAGCAUAAAAAAACAUAAAUCAAAUAAAAAUAAAAAACCUAAUUAAGAAAAGAACCAAGAAUAACUAGAAAAAAAAAGAAAAUUUCUAAACAGAAGGCAUCAUCCUAAUCUCAUUUAGGUACAACAAAUUCUCUCAAUACAAAACCCAAUCUAUAAAAUGUGCUAACAAAAUUUUAAUUCAAUCUAAUAAUUAAAUUAAAAUUUAUAUUCGUUUUUUUUUUAGAAAGCUCAUUUGACUUGUCUAGACAUCUUAUUAGACCUGGACUUUUAAUAUGUAUCAUACAUUGAGCUUUUCUACUUUAGAAAAACUUGUUCUAAAGUUCAUUGUCAAAACUUAAACUUUUCCAUACAAACGAACAAAUAUUUCAAAUAUAGCAUUGAAUUUAGCUUAUUCACAAACUAAACCUCUUUUACUAAAAAUUCAACCAAAUCAUUCCCUCAUCUUCUUUCAUUUCAUCCAUAUGCCAGCCUAUCCUACAACCUUAAGAGAAAAAGAUUUUUUUGUCCUCUUUGACAUGAACUUCAUCCUUUUUAAGUAAUUUUGGAAAGUUGUUCUAGUUUUUUAUUAGUUGGCUUAAUCCUAGUUUGCUCACUGAUUUUAAAUUAGCUUAAUCCUAAUUUGCUAAUUAAUUUUAGAUUGUCCUUCAUAUUUCAUCUCUCCUUCGUGUUCCUACAAGUUUUAGAAUAUUUAGUGACUUCGUGUUGUUCUUUCAGUUUCACCUUAACUUCAAGAACUAUUGUUUUUGGUUUGUCAACUCUUUUUAACACUCAUUUUGACAUUACUAAAUCUUUAGUUUAUUUUGCCUUAUUUUUUUUUUUAGUUAGUACUUAUAAAGGUUGAACAAGUUUCUCAAUAUCUUCUUCUAAUAAUACUAGAACAUCAACCAUUCAAGUUAUUUCAGUGCCAAUUCAUCUAAGGAUAGUAAUAGUUAUUACUCUUCUACUUCGUUAAAAACAUAAUUUAUAGUUAGAUCAAUUGAUUCACUAUUAUAACUUUGGCUAUUAGAGCUGAAACACUAAAUCUGUGUGUGUGAGUCAAGAAUGAAAUCCUUUCCAACUCAUUUUUAUCAUUGAUUAGAACAUCAACAACAAAACAUCAUCAAUCAUCUUAAUCUCAUCUAUUAAGGGUUUCACCUCCUUAUCUUUCACUUGUGCUUUUGAUUUAGCUAAUAGGUUUAAUCAACUUUCUAGUUGAGAAAAUUAAACAAAAGACAAUAACAAUAUAAUUGCUUAUAUGACCAGUAUAAAAUCUCUAUGUAAUAAUCUUAUAAUAACUCUUAGAUUAGUAAUUUUCUAUAAUAGAAUUACAGGUUUACCAACAUGAACUUUAUCAUUUAGAACAUCAUACCAUUAAUCUUCAACACCAUAAGAAAGUUUACAUUUUGCAAAUCCUACUUUAUGAUAACUAGGAAUUUUCUUUAAUAAAGUACUCUUACAACUUUGACAACCAUCUAAUAAAUUUUUUCUUCAAAAAUCAUUGUUGCACCUAACAUUGUUGUGAUCCACCCUCUUUCAUAGGAAAGGGGAAAGAUUUUUUAUAUGGUAAGAGGGCAAAAGUUCUAAACUUUAUAAAAAAAAAGUCACCACUUGGUACUAUGGUUACUAGAAAACCCUAACUAAUAAACAGAGUGUUAGAUAAUUAUAUAAAUUAUAUAUUAAGACCUCACCUAACAGCUUUGACUUUUGGGUUGAGAUGGUUCUUUGACACAUGGUUCUAUGAUAAGGGACUGGUUAUGCAAAAGAAAAGAUAUUAUCACCCUAAAAUAUUCUACUUGAGAUAAGUUGCAUUGGUAACUUUGUCUUUUAUUUCUAACAGUUUGUUAUACCAAAUAUAUCAGUAGUCUAUCUAUAUAAGUGAUAGUGAGUCUACUGCAAUGAGUUAAACCCUGGGUGGUUGGUUUAAACCUAACUAUUCUAAGGUCUAUUCAUCUUUGUCACCCCUAGUUAUUAUCUUUUGAUAAUACUUGAUGAAUUUGGAUGCCUACAACAAAUGACUCCUGAUAAUGAACUGUGAUAAAUAGUCUACCAAGCCAUGCCAAUGAAUGACCAAUGGGCUUCUGUUAGGCUCAUUGAACUCAACCAAAAUCUUAGAAAGAGCCUAUGGAUAAUGUCUUGUUAAGAUUCAUCUAUCGUAUAAUAUCUAAGACUCACUUAUAAUAUUUGUUAAACGAACAGUGUAUGCCCAGUCCUAUACAAACAGUGACCUCUAUAGGUUCACCUACUUGAAAAAAUGAUCUAGUAAUAUAAAGGUUCUUUAUCAACUUGUUUUGGAUAAUGACCUUUAUGGAUUCAUUUGUCCUAAAAUAUGAUGUUAAGUAUAACAAUCACAUUUGUAGUUCAAUUUUAGUGAAUUGCCCGGAAUUAGUAGCUAUGCUCACUAGUUGGUAAGACUCAUGCAUGCAUAAUCAUAGUAAGUGGAUAAUUUAUUCAAAACUAAGAUAUUUACAUCACUCAUGAAUGGACUACAUUGCACCCUCAUUUGACACCUAAAAGUAAUGACCUUUAAAUGUUUAUUUACAUUAGGAUCAUUAUUGGAUGAUUAACCAAAACGGUUUGAUGUUUUUUAAAAGAAGACUUUAACUUUUGAAAAUAAAAUUACAAGAUAUAAGUAUUACUUCCAAUCAACAUCCAAAGUAAUAACUUGUUAUAACUUGUUGUAAGUUUAUUUUCCUUGAACAUUGUAGGUGAAUCGUAUAUCAAAAAAUAAGAAUUUGUUUGGAAAGUAGGGAACCAAAUAAAGAAUUUAUAAAGAAUUUGGAAUUUGUUUCUCUACAUUCCAACCCAUUUUCUUUUUUUACAAAAAUUAUGGUCGCUCUCUCCUAUGGUGACUAAGGUUUUGGUUAACAUUUUGAAAUAGUGUAGAGGAAGAAGAUAAAAAAUAAUCCCCUCUCUUCUUUUUUCUUCUCUAUUUAUAGUCUAACUUUAUUUUAUCAUUUUCUCUCAAUUACUUGGUCCCCAAAUAACUGAGUUUCACUUUGGUCCUUCUUUAUUCUUGUUUUGCACUCUAGCCUCUUGUUCAUUUUUUCACUAUUUUGAUUUCUUUUUUCUUUUUUUUGUAUUUUGAUUUUUUCAUGAAAAGCAACAUUAACUUCAAUUUGAAAAGAAAAGUAAUCAAGAAAUGAGAAAUGGAUGCAAAUACAUCUAAAAUAUAUUUCUUUGAAUUUGAUUUUUUUCAGAAAGACAUCAACAAGAGAAAAAUAGUUGAAAAUUGCAAAAUGGUCGCGUUGAUGGUCGAAAUGCAUCGAAAACAUGUUUUUUUAUUUUUUUUUUGCUUUUCUUAAUUUUGAAAAAUAAUUUUAGAACUAGGUUAUGACAAUCCAUAUUAAAAAAGGAAUUUCUUCAAAAUUAAAAAAGUGCCUACAAAAAGGUUGGCUACAAGUUAAGUCUUCGAUGCAUCGCUUAUGAUCAUAAACAUCACUCUUCAUAUUGAUAUGAUACAUGUAUGGGUUUGAAGGAAUACAUUUAGGUUCCAAGUCUGCCCUUUUUAAGUCUCUAAGCAUGUUGAUCUUCUCUUCAUGAUCUUUGUUUGAGUCCUGUCUUUGGUAGUUGAUCCAACUAAUCAUAUCUUUGUGUUAGGGUUCUCCACGCUGCCUUUUAAGCACUCAAAGCACCCUAAAUAGCCUUCACUCCUUCAUCAUGAGCUAGAAAGAUCGAUGUUGUUAAUAAUUUUGUUCAUUGAACAAGCAAACCUACUCUAAUACUAAUUAAUGUAGUGUAUAGUGAUAAGAAAUUAAGGUUUCUUAAACUCUAUAUGAUCCAGCAAUCAUAGUAAAAAACAAUUUCAUUUAUUAAAAAAGUCAUUUGACUUGUUGAGAUAUUUUUUUGAACUUAAACCUUUUAAUACUCUUACGUAACUAGUUAUUAGUUCUUCGUAGUACAUGAAUGAUAUGGAUGGUUAACAUACGAAACGUGUCCAAAUAAAGUAGGAAGUACAAUGUUAAUCUUUUCAAAGGGGGGAGACGCUGAUCAUCCCCUUAUAUAACAGGUAGAGAUCGGUCUACAUUCUCGCCUACCUCUCUACGAUAAUUAAUGCACAGAAAGAAAAUGGAAACACCCUUGGUAUUUCUUUUGGCAGCGUUGUUGGCAACAGUGCUGCUGGAAUAUAAGCCUGUUUUGCCAACACUAGCGUCUGAAGCUGAUCACUCUGUUUGGGCAGAAGUUGGUGUUUUCGAAACAGGAAAUUUUCACCCAAUACAAUCUGAUGUAGGAACAGCCUCUAGCUGUUCACCUCCUAGAUCCUUGUUGAUUUUUAGGCCAGAAGAAAAGGGCACGUA